GCGCACUCCUACUAUUUCAUGGACUCAACUGGCCUUGGAAUUAUUACAGAGAUAUGGGGGGGACAUGAGAGCCAAUCCUUAUGAACGGUUAGCCAUUGUUUAUCAAGAAAAGUCUGUUGAUGAAUACAUUGAUGUUUUUGUUGCUCUUGCAUCUCAGGUGGAAGGAUUGACGGACCAACAGUAUUUGGGUUUCUUUUUAAGUGGUUUGCGGGGGGAAAUUCGUGUGUAUUCGUUCUCAAGACUCUGUUGAUAUUUUUCGCACAAUGAAUUUAGCUCGCGAAAUUGAAUUAGAGAUUCAAUUCAUUACUUCAAAGCUACCGCUAAAACACGGUGCAGACUCUAGCUAGAGAUGGGGUUUAGUUAUUAGGCCUGGACCAAAGAAUGAUAUGGGUCGGUAUGUAAAGGGCACUUCCACUUGGUCCAAACCAUCCUUCCUUCUCCUUCAACAAAACUUCUAGAAUAUCCAAAUACAAAGCCACCAGAUAAAGCUUUUCUGGGACCA
rnacentral:misc_RNA from 1 species